rnacentral:rRNA from 1 species
GUGUAACAAGGUUUCUGUAGGUGAACCUGCAGAAGGAUCAUUAGAGAGAAUAGAGGGUUUCGGAUUCUGAUCCGCCCUCGCCCUUUCGAUCCACCCAUUCAAACACCUGUGCACAUUCAACUAGCACAAGCUCGGUAUACGAGUAAUAGGAGAAACCCGUGUCUGCGCUGUCUGACAGCUCGGUCGCGUGCGCCUUCGAUUACAACUAUGCCAGUAUGGGCUUGCGCUACUUCAUUUUAAACUCGGUCAAUCGAAUGAAAAAAUACAAAUCCUCCCAUGCGGGGGUGAAAGUUAAACACAACUUUCGGCAAUGGAUCUCUUGGUUCUCCUAUCGAUGAAGAACGCAGCGAAUUGCGAUAAGUAAUGUGAAUUGCAGAAGUCAGUGAAUCAUCGAAUCUUUGAACGCACCUUGCGCCCUAAGGUAUUCCUUAGGGCAUGCCUGUUUGAGUGUCAUGAAUACCUUUCGGACCUACCUUUUUUCCUAGCGAGAAAGGGAUUGGGGAUUCCGGCUCUGAGUGUCUCUGCCUCGGCCUUGCGGCUUUGUGGCUCACUCUAAAUGUAUUAGCUGGAUUCUCGACCGUUGAAUUCAAUCGUCGAUGCUUUCUAUGCGCCUCCUUCUGGUAUAAUAAGUUAUUGUACUGGCUGGUAGCGCAACUAGAUUGAAUCGGUUUUACAUGCGAUUGUUGGAGGUCUAUAGAAUCUGCUUCUAAUCUAGGGGCGGCACGCACUUGUGCGUGUGACAUGCCCGCACACUAUUCUAAUCUGGCCUCAAAUCAGGUAGGACUACCCGCUGAACUUAAGCAUAUCAUA